rnacentral:rRNA from 1 species
AAACAACGGAGAGUUUGAUCCUGGCUCAGGAUGAACGCUAGCGGCAGGCUUAACACAUGCAAGUCGAGGGGCAGCGGGGAGGAAGCUUGCUUUCUCCGCCGGCGACCGGCGCACGGGUGAGUAACACGUAUGCAACCUGCCCCUGUCAGGGGGACAACCCGCCGAAAGGCGGGCUAAACCCGCGUACAUGCCACCGGGGCAUCCCGGAGGCAGGAAAGGCUUCGGCCGGACAGGGAUGGGCAUGCGGCGCAUUAGGCAGUAGGCGGGGUAACGGCCCACCUAACCGACGAUGCGUAGGGGUUCUGAGAGGAAGGUCCCCCACACUGGUACUGAGACACGGACCAGACUCCUACGGGAGGCAGCAGUGAGGAAUAUUGGUCAAUGGUCGGGAGACUGAACCAGCCAAGCCGCGUGAGGGAGGAAGGUACAGAGUAUCGUAAACCUCUUUUGUCAGGGAACAAAGGCGGGGACGUGUCCCCGGAUGAGUGUACCUGAAGAAAAAGCAUCGGCUAACUCCGUGCCAGCAGCCGCGGUAAUACGGAGGAUGCGAGCGUUAUCCGGAUUUAUUGGGUUUAAAGGGUGCGCAGGCGGUCUGUUAAGUCAGCGGUCAAAGCCCGGGGCUCAACCCCGGCCCGCCGUUGAAACUGGCAGUCUCGAGUUGGAGAGAAGUAUGCGGAAUGCGCGGUGUAGCGGUGAAAUGCAUAGAUAUCGCGCAGAACUCCGAUUGCGAAGGCAGCAUGCCGGCUCCACACUGACGCUGAGGCACGAAAGCGUGGGUAUCGAACAGGAUUAGAUACCCUGGUAGUCCACGCAGUAAACGAUGAAUGCUGGCUGUCCGGGGGGAYUGACCCCUGGGUGGCGAAGCGAAAGCGAUAAGCAUUCCACCUGGGGAGUACGCCGGCAACGGUGAAACUCAAAGGAAUUGACGGGGGCCCGCACAAGCGGAGGAACAUGUGGUUUAAUUCGAUGAUACGCGAGGAACCUUACCCGGGCUCAAACGGGGAGUGACUCAGGCAGAGACGCCUGUUUCCCACGGGACACUCCCCGAGGUGCUGCAUGGUUGUCGUCAGCUCGUGCCGUGAGGUGUCGGCUUAAGUGCCAUAACGAGCGCAACCCCCGCGUGCAGUUGCUAACAGAUAACGCUGAGGACUCUGCACGGACUGCCGGCGCAAGCCGCGAGGAAGGCGGGGAUGACGUCAAAUCAGCACGGCCCUUACGUCCGGGGCGACACACGUGUUACAAUGGGUGGUACAGCGGGAAGCCAGGCGGCGACGCCGAGCGGAACCCGAAAUCCACUCUCAGUUCGGAUCGGAGUCUGCAACCCGACUCCGUGAAGCUGGAUUCGCUAGUAAUCGCGCAUCAGCCAUGGCGCGGUGAAUACGUUCCCGGGCCUUGUACACACCGCCCGUCAAGCCAUGGGAGCCGAGGGCGCUUGAAGUGCGUCGCCGCGAGGCGCGCCCUAGAGCGAAAUCGGUGACUGGGGCUAAGUCGUAACAAGGUARCCGUACCGGAAGGUGCGGCUGGAACACCUCCUUUCUGGA